CCCCCCCACAUGCGGUGCCGCUCGCCGUCGCGAAGGCGGCUCGACGGCUGUGCCUGAUGCACUUUUGACGAGCUUGAGAGAAUCUGCCUCAGUUCAACUACAGCCCUUCCUUUCAGGUUGAGAGGUAGGCUGCUAGAAGAGUAUUUUGAUCAAAACCAAGUAUCAACCAUUUCCUCUUGCUAUGAGGAAGCUUUGAUAAGAGAUCCUACUUGUAGCUACUCAAUGGAGAGGCUUAUCAAAAUGCAUAGAAAAGGAUACUAUAAUACCAUCCAGCUACUCGAGGCAAUAGCUUUACAUUUAGAUUCCGUCAAUGGGAAAGCUUGCAUCUGUGAGGACCUUGUACAGUGCUUCCUUCGUCUUUUUUCUAACAAGACUGCUGGCUAUGAGAAUGGCAUAUCAUGUACUAAUGCCCAAGGAGAUAAAGCAUUGGAAGCUUUCAGUAAAUUUUCUUCAUUCUUUCUUGAGCGACUUACAAGAGAAUCAUGGAAGGUCCGAAUUCCGAUGCAGAUGGUGGAUGCACAAUCAUUUCAGUCAAAACGCCUAUGCAGCAGAAACCCUGAUAGGUGAUUUGAAGUUGCUGGCUACCAAGGCGGCUUGUGCUGCUCAUUUAUUUGGGCCAGAAUUUCUGUACGUCAAAGCAGUUGGGAGCUAUUUUGCCAAGCAAGAAGCUCUGGAUGAAAUCAGUAUCUUAGUCAGAAACAAGCAGAACUCUUUCUUAUUAACAUUCUUCCAGAAGAUUUUCUAUAAAAAAUAAAACUGGUAAGUUAUUUAUUUAAGUUCUUCUAGGAAAUUCUUUUAGAAAGAUUUCUUUCAAAAGUUGUUAGGAAAACUUUUGCGUAAAGAUUUUCAUGGAGUAAUUUUAGUCCAAGUUUUCUAGAUAAGUUUUCCAGGAACAAAUAUUAUACAAAACUUUCUUUCCAAAGUUUUUUACAAAGUUUUCUAGAUAAUUGUUAUAUAGGCAAGUUACUAGGGAAGUUCUAUACGAAAAAAUUAUUUGCAAAAGUCUUCUAUAUAAGUUACUUAUAAUGGUUUGUACAAUUGUUUGUUUGAAAAUUGGUUACACAAUUUUUUUGAAUAAACUUUAGGUUCAAUUUUUUUACCUAACUUCAGGAAAUUUAACUUAAUAAGUUUGUUGUAUAAGUUUUUGCUUAAAAGUAAUAAAGAGAAUUUAUGUGAAGUAAGAUACUCAUCAAAGUUUGGUGAAAAGUCUUUUGUACAAAAUUUUUUAAAAGUUUUUUCAAUAGCUUUUCUAUAUAAAUAUUUUAUUAAAAAAAGUUUGUCUAGGUUUCUAGAUAAGUUUACUACUCACAAAUAUUUACAAAAGUUGUGUUCAUAACUUUUUUAAUUAACGUUCUUCAAGAAGAUUUUCUAUGAAAAAAAUUGUCUAAAGGUUAUUAACAAAACUUUGGUUGGCAACUUAUUUAUCAAAGUUCUUCCAGGAAAUUCUUCAUGAAAGAUUUCUAUAAAAAGUUGUUAGGCUAAUUUCUGUGUAAACAUUUUCUUAAAUAACUUUUGUCGAAAUUUUCUAGAUAAGUUUUCUACAAACAAAUAUCUUGCAAAACUUUUCUUUGCAAUGUUUUUUUUUACAAAGUUUUCUAGAUAAUUGUUUUAUAGGAAAGUUACUGGGGAAGUUCUAUAGGAAAAUUUUAUUUAUAAAAUUCUUCUAUAUAAGUUACCUACAAUAGUACAAUUGUUUUCUUAAAAAUUUGUUACACAAUUUUUGAAUAAACUUUAGUUUAACUUUUUUAAUGUUGCAUAAGUUUUUUGUACCUAUGGAUUUUUCUGGACUAAUUUUUGAAUAAAUUUUUUACUGAAAACUUUUGUCAUAUCUAAAGUUUUUUGUAUCUAUCUGGUCUAACAAAGUUCGCCAUGUGCAUUCUUUUUUCCUUUGAAAACUUUUUUUCAAUCCAUUAGUUUGCAUGGACAAGUUAUGCAAAGGCAAAGUAAUUGUUGUCUUCUCCAAUAUAUAUUUCUUUUUUUUGGACAUGUUUAUGUAAUAUAUGAGUAAUUUUCUAUAAAACUUUCCUGUAAAAAUAUUUACAUGUAAUUAAUUUUUUCACUCUAUCUAAUUUUUUAUUGAAAACCUUUUUCCAUAUCUAAAUUUUUCGUAUUUAUCUGGACAAACAAAGUUUUCCAUUUUCCUGUCUUUUUUGUUGCUGAAAACUUUUUCCAUGUGCACUUAAACUUUUUUCAACUUUUUGAUACAAAGUUUUAUGUUCAAAUUUUCAUCUAACAAAAUUUUUUACAUAAUUUGGCCCUUAUUUUUAUGUACAUCCAGUAUUUUGUUUUCACAUUUUUUAAUGCUAAUUCAGUAAUAUGCCAAUCAUGUUAACUUGCCAUACUCAGCCCAACCAGAUAGGGUCGUCUGUGUUUCAGUUUUUGACUUCUUCAUCGAUUUUGCCUACUGAGAUUUUAGUAUAUAUCAAGAUUGACAUGCCAUACUUGUUCCAACUGAUUAGGGCCAAUCAUAUCCAUCUGCCAUAGUCGUCCCAACUGAUUAGAGCCAGUUAUUUUCAAACCAGCCACACUCGUCCCAACUAAUUAGAGCUAGUCACGUCAACCUGCCAUACUUGGCCCAACUGAUUAGGACCAAUUACAUCAACUAGCCAUACUCGGCCCAACUGAUUAGGGCCAUUCAUAUCAUCGUGCCAUACUCGUCCCAACCAGUUAGGGUGGUCUGGGUUUCAGGAUCCACUUUGUCACCAUAUAAUUAGGGCCAAUUACGCCCAUCUGUCAUACUCGACCUAACUGAUUAGGGCUAGUCACGUCCAUCUGCCAUACUCGACCCAAUUGAUUAGGGCCAGUCACGUCGAUCUACCAUACUCGACCCAACUGAUUAGGGCCAGUCACGUCCAUCUGCCAUACUCGAUCCAACUGAUUAGGGCCAGUCACGUCCAUCUGCCAUACUCGACCCACCUGAUUAGGGUGAGUCACAUCAAUCUGCAAUACUCAUUCCAACUGGUUAAGGCCAAUCACGUUAGCCUGCCGUACUUGGCCUAACUGAUUAGGGCAAUCACGUCCACCUGCCAUACUUGGCUCAACCGAUUAGGGCUAAUCACAUCCACCUACCAUACUUGGCUCAACUGAUUAGAGCCAAUCACUUCAACUUGCCAUACCAGUACAUUGUAAACAAUAUUCCAGCACCCCCACCACCUAGAAGGUAUCUCUGACUUAUGGACUUCCUCCUCCACACCCUUGUUUCUUUAUUCUGAUUAAUCGUUUCAUUAAAACUUUUUAUUUCUCAGCCCUAUGAUUAUAAAGAUGGUAAAAUUUUUUUUGGGUCGAUCAUUGUACUUUUGGUUUUUCAAUGCAAGUUUAUGGAUCCAUAUCGCACCAAGUCAUAAAUAUUAUGGGUGUAGCUAUUAUGGAAGCCCAAUAUACAAAGCAUUUCAGUGACUUAUUGUCUUUGCACACAUGAGGAAAAUGAGGUUGUACCACAUUAGAUAAAGAACAUAGUGCAACAUGUAACUUCACCUUUCUUCUAUAUUUUUUUCCUAUUUUUUCUAAUAUUUUUUCAAUCUGCUGGUAUUUAUUUCGUUUUUGUUUUCUAAAAAA